GCGAACGCUGGCGGCAGGCCUAAUACAUGCAAGUCGAACGGCUUCUUCGGAAGCAGUGGCGGACAGGUGAGUAACGCGUGGGAACGUGCCCUUUGGUACGGAACAACUGAGGGAAACUUCAGCUAAUACCGUAUGUGCCCUUCGGGGGAAAGAUUUAUCGCCAUUGGAGCGGCCCGCGUUAGAUUAGCUAGUUGGUGGGGUAAAGGCCUACCAAGGCAACGAUCUAUAGCUGGUCUGAGAGGAUGAUCAGCCACACUGGGACUGAGACACGGCCCAGACUCCUACGGGAGGCAGCAGUAGGGAAUCUUGCGCAAUGGGCGAAAGCCUGACGCAGCCAUGCCGCGUGAAUGAUGAAGGUCUUAGGAUUGUAAAAUUCUUUCACCGGGGACGAUAAUGACGGUACCCGGAGAAGAAGCUCCGGCUAACUUCGUGCCAGCCGCCGCGGUAA
rnacentral:rRNA from 1 species